rnacentral:rRNA from 1 species
UUCCUACGGGUGGCUGCAGCUAAGAAUCUUGCGCAAUGGGCGAAAGCCUGACGCAGCAAUUCCGCGUGGGGGACGAAGGCCCUCGGGUCGUAAACCCCUUUUGCGAGGGAAGAAGUUCUGACGGUACCUCGCGAAUAAGCACCGGCUAACUACGUGCCAGCAGCCGCGGUAAUACGUAGGGUGCGAGCGUUGUCCGGAUUUAUUGGGCGUAAAGAGCCCGCAGGCGGCCUGUCAAGUUUCAGGUGAAAUCUCACGGCUCAACUGGGAGGGGUCCUGGAAAACUGGCAGGCUUGAGGCAGGGAGAGGGAUGUGGAAUUCCCGGUGUAGUGGUGAAAUGCGUAGAUAUCGGGAGGAACACCAGUGGCGAAGGCGGCAUCCUGGCCCUGUCCUGACGCUCAGGGGCGAAAGCGUGGGGAGCAAACCGGAUUAGAUACCCUUGUAGUCA